GGGCCCGUAGCUCAACGGCAGAGCAGCUGACUCAUAAUCAGUUGGUUGCAGGUUCGACUCCUGCCGGGCCCACCA
rnacentral:tRNA from 1 species